UGCAACUUUUGGCCCAAAUAUUUGAAUAAUUAAAUUCAAACCUAUAGUUUUUUUUAAAUAUAAUUUUGGGACUACAAUCCCAUUUUUAUAUUAUUUUUCUCUCUUCCUCUCACGUUGCUCAGCGUUUUCUCGCAAGGGGGGAUUAUUUUCUUUGUCUUCAGAUUAUAUUGACAAAGAUAGUGGUGAAAAAAGAGUUGUGAAGGGGAACUUGUUAUUCAAGACACAAGGUAACCAUUAUUAAUGUGUUGUGAUGAGUGUGUUUGUGAAUGGUUAUGUGUUGUUUUGUUGUUUGGAAAAAUUAUGAAUUAUUGAAAAUAAAUACUGUUAUAUACUUGUUUGAAAUUAUUGCCAAGUGGGUUAAAAAUUUAUUUUUGUUUAUCAUGAUGAGAUAUUAUUGUUCGGAUAUAUUUCUGUUUGGAUAUUUGAAUGAUGCAUGACUUGUCAGGGUAUUUUAAUGUAUGGUGUUAAUGGGAAUUUCUGUUCGGUUAAUUAUUACCACGUGGUAAGCCCUCAUUGGACCCAAUGAGUGGCGUGUCGCUUGGUCCAACUCACCUUUGGCCGGGUGAUUUGGCGUCCGAGCAUGGUGAAAGGAGGAUAUAAGGUGCAGUCAUGCAAUUAAAUACUUGUUCGGUUUGUUUGAAAAUAUUGUUCGGUUAAAUGUUUUGUGUGCCCACUUAGCAAUCGCAUGAUUAGUUACAUCCGCAUGCAUCAUUACAUAUUAAUUUUUGGUUACUGGGACUUUUAAGUCUCAUUCCCCGUGGUUAAUAUUUUUACAGGAGCGAAUCCGGCCGAGAAAGCACCAGAGGUGUAAUUAUGGUGUAUGAGACACCAUCUUUUACGUUGCCUCUUAUUUUGGAUUAUACAAUGUAUCUUGUGCCAACUUAGGACAUAUCUUGUCUAUGGAGCAUGUAAACUCUAAUCCUUUUUAUUAAAUGCAUUUAUAUGUCCAAGAGGAUUAUGUCUGUCCCUUUUGAUUCAUGACCUAAUUUGAAUAACAUGCUAUGAGGAUCAUGUCUGUCCCUCAUGGUUCUAAUUGCUUUUUGAGA